AUAGAACGCUGGCGGCAGGCCUAACACAUGCAAGUCGAGCGAAUGAAGGGAGCUUGCUCCUGGAUUCAGCGGCGGACGGGUGAGUAAUGCCUAGGAAUCUGCCUGGUAGUGGGGGAUAACGUCCGGAAACGGGCGCUAAUACCGCAUACGUCCUGAGGGAGAAAGUGGGGGAUCUUCGGACCUCACGCUAUCAGAUGAGCCUAGGUCGGAUUAGCUAGUUGGUGGGGUAAAGGCCUACCAAGGCGACGAUCCGUAACUGGUCUGAGAGGAUGAUCAGUCACACUGGAACUGAGACACGGUCCAGACUCCUACGGGAGGCAGCAGUGGGGAAUAUUGGACAAUGGGCGAAAGCCUGAUCCAGCCAUGCCGCGUGUGUGAAGAAGGUCUUCGGAUUGUAAAGCACUUUAAGUUGGGAGGAAGGGCAGUAAGUUAAUACCUUGCUGUUUUGACGUUACCAACAGAAUAAGCACCGGCUAACUUCGUG
rnacentral:rRNA from 1 species